rnacentral:lncRNA from 1 species
ACAGUGCUUCGCGCCUGUAAUCUCAGCACUUUGGGAGGCUCAGGUGGGUGGAUCACCUGAGGUCAGGAGUUCAAGACCAGCCUGGCCAACAUGGUGAAACCCCGUCUCUACUAAAAAUACAAAAAUUAGCCGGGCAUGGUGGCAGGCGCCAGUGAUUCCAGUUACUCAGGAGACUGAGGCAGGAGAAUCACUUGAACCUGGGAGGCAGAGGUUGCAAUGAGACGAGAUUGUGCCACUGCACUGCAGCCUGGGCGACAGAACAAUACUCCACCUACAAAAAAAAAAAAAAAGAAUAAGUUUUGAAGUUUGUCCUUGUCACAUUCCAAUUGGUUGGAAUCCAGGUCUCCUUGACUUGACAGCCUAGACUGAUCUGUUCAUUACACCACACUGGUAAGGAAGAAAGGUGUGUCUGAGGGGUGGGGUGGGAAUAGAGCCCAGAGAAGGGAGACAGCAGGAGGAGUGACAACCAGAGAGGAGAGGAGGGGGCAAAUGGCUUUUCUGUAAAACACACUUGGCCAAGGGGGCAGCUCAGAAGGCUCUCUUUUCCCCUUAGAAUUCUGCCCCAAAGUGGGCAUAGUCCUCUUGUCUUGGUCCUUCUCAACAUACCAAGAGAGGCUCACUUUAAACGAGUGAGCAAAAAACUUUACCUAAUACUAAGGAAACACAAAAAGAAAAUAAACAAUGAAAAUACAUGAACUCUAAAACAGCUCAGCGUUGUCUGAAGUGUAAAGUUUCCAUUCUCACUCCCUGGACUCUCAGACUCGGGUCCUUUGUGUGUCUUGCCUCCUAGAUAACUGCUGCCCAAUUCCAAAGGGCUUUUCACAAUUUUCCAGUCUCCUAGUUUCCCUGCCUCCCAGCUCCCAGCCUGUUUGCCAGGAUGGGUAUGGGGAUACAUUAAGACUUUUAUGUAUUUUUAAAAACAUUUAUUUUGAGGCAGGGUCUCACUCUGUUACUCUGGCUGGAGUACAGUGGUGCAAUCAUAGCUAACUGCAGCCUC